rnacentral:rRNA from 1 species
CCUACGGGUGGCAGCAGUGGGGGAUAUUGCACAAUGGGGGAAACCCUGAUGCAGCGACGCCGCGUGGGCGAAGAAGUAUUUCGGUAUGUAAAGCCCUAUCAGCAGGGAAGAAGAAAUGACGGUACCAGAGUAAGACGCACCGGCUAAAUACGUGCCAGCAGCCGCGGUAAUACGUAGGGUGCAAGCGUUAGCCGGAUUUACUGGGUGUAAAGGGAGCGCAGGCGGGACGGCAAGCCUGAUGUGAAAGCCCGCGGCCCAACCGCGGGACUGCAUUGGGAACUACCGGGCUGGAGUGCCGGAGAGGUAGGCGGAAUUCCUAGUGUAGGGGUGAAAUGCGUAGAGAUUAGGAGGAACACUAGUGGCGAAGGCGACCUACUAAACUGCCACUGACAUUGAUGCGCGAAAGUGUGGGGAGCAAACAGGAUUAGAUACCCGAGUAGUC